rnacentral:rRNA from 1 species
UACGUAGGGUGCGAGCGUUGUCCGGAAUUAUUGGGCGUAAAGCGCGCGCAGGCGGGAUGGUAAGUCGGAUGUGAAAGCCCUCGGCUCAACCGAGGAAGUGCGUUCGAAACUACUGUUCUUGAGUGUCGGAGAGGGUGGCGGAAUUCCCGGUGUAGAAGUGAAAUUCGUAGAUAUCGGGAGGAACACCAGAGGCGAAGGCGGCCACCUGGACGAACACUGACGCUGAGGCGCGAAAGCGUGGGGAGCAAACAGG